GAAAGAAUGAGCAGCGAACAGUCUAUAAAACGACUUGAAACGGUAUGCUUGGUCCAGACUACAACAGUUUGUUGGCUUGCUUCGGACAGUCUUUCGCUGUGCUAUACUAUUUGUGAAGAGGUAAAGACAUAUGAUAAGCAAAGAGGGAUAAAAUGAUUCCACAUACUGGGUAUUAUUUGAACUGAUAUGGAGGGACUACUUCAGAUUUCUUUUCAUUAAAAUAUG